rnacentral:rRNA from 1 species
AUGAGUGGGGAAUUCAAGUGUGAGCCGCUCUCAAUGGCUCGCUGGCACCGAUGUUUUAAAAAUUCAACGACUAUUGAUAUGCUGCCUUGUUUCCCUUCUGAACCAAAAUCAGGCGAGGCUGAUUACUCUUGUUGGUAUUUGACACUUCUCAGAUUGCUCGUUGUCCAGACUGUACAAUUUGCAGCAGAGGCCUAUGAUAUAAAGUCCAGCAUGUUUUCUAGUGUGGUUCUCUUAUUUGGGCAUAAGUAUUCUAUCAGUGAGGAUCUGAAUUUUCUAUCCCUACAGAGCAGCACCAGUGGCCUAAUUCUUAUGACCAACUCAACUCAAAGACAGUUCUCAGAUUUUGCCAUGGGAAGACACUACGGUCUUGAUAUUCUUCCAGCGUUUGUUUAUACCAGUUGUUGCUUGCCUUAUGAGCUUCAGUCUGCCGAUAUGUUAGUGGUCAUCAUUGACAUGAGAGAUGGUGGCAUGGUCAUCUCCAAGAUGGGAAGGUUGUGGGAUCCAAGAGGACUAUUGUUGGUUUCAUACCAAGUUUCAUCUCCAGGACGGAAGCAUAUACCAUGGGACCCUGGUGGCAUCGCGCAUGAACUAGAGAAGAGCUGGCACUGGCUUGAGGGCAAGCCAGUUGUUAAGGAGGGGGGAGUGUCAGCAGCCCUCUAUCCUUUCAGGGCUAUGGGCCACCUAUCGUUGGGCCAGCAACGGUAG